rnacentral:rRNA from 1 species
ACGCUCGACACCUACGGGAGACAGCAGUGGGGAAUAUUGCACAAUGGAGGAAACUCUGAUGCAGCGAUGCCGCGUGAGGGAAGAAGGUUUUCGGAUUGUAAACCUCUGUCUUUGGGGACGAUAAUGACGGUACCCAAGGAGGAAGCUCCGGCUAACUACGUGCCAGGAGCCGCGGUAAUCUGAGCGGGCUGGCAAGGC